AACGCACAUUGCGCCCGCCAGCACUCUGGCGGGCAUGCCUGUCCGAGCGUCAUUUCAACCCCCCGGGCCCCCUUGUCCGGCGUUGGGGAAGCCGCCGCGGCGGCCCCCCGAAGGCGAGCGGCGGGACCACUGGCACCCCUGGCGUAGUAGCACACGUCGCCUAGGGCGUGCCGGCGUUUCGUCCCGGCCGUCAAGCGCAGGUACGCAAGUACUGCACAAUUUACAAAAGGUUGACCUCGGGUCAGGUAGGGAUACCCGCUGAACUUAA
rnacentral:misc_RNA from 1 species